rnacentral:lncRNA from 1 species
AUAGAUGUAACUCUACUUGUUACCUGCUCCACAAGUAGCCUUGUACAGCACCCCAGGCUUACAUUAGAGGCAUGGAAAUAGAGGUAUUAGAAUUCCUAUUAACCCUUCUAUCAGGGAGCCAAUUAAAAAGGGUGAAAUCUUCCUUGGACUGCUGGCUCUGCAGGGGAUCAGUACCAAUGAGCAAAGCAUUCUCACUGAGGAUGAGCCUGACUUUACAAUCCAGUAUCUUGUGUUACAGCUGUCUAUUGCAUCACACUAUCUGUCCUCAUCCUGGCUUCUCUUAUGCUCACUGACGGUUGUUUCCUGCAAUCUUCUUUUGGGGCUCUUCUUGUCAUUUAUUUAAAGAAUCCCUUUGGGAAACUAAAUUCAACAAGUGGUACUAUAUCUAGCUUUUACGGAGGUGAUAAUCAUAUGUUUAUAUUUCAGUAUUAUCAGUGACUGUGUUCUGUAACACAAUAGAAAGUCUUCAUUUUCUUAAUCACUAUUCUGAAAGUGUUUUGGGAGCUUUUAGAUUAUAAGGCACUCAAUAAAAUGUAAGGCUCUACUAUAACCCUAAGCA